UACGGAGGGUGCAAGCGUUGUCCGGAUUUAUGGGGUUUAAAGGGUGCGUAGGCGGCCCGUUAAGUCAGUGGUGAAAGCCUCCAGCUCAACUGGAGAACUGCCAUUGAUACUGACAGGCUUGAGUACAGACGAGGUUGGCGGAAUUGAUUGUGUAGCGGUGAAAUGCAUAGAUACAAUCAAGAACUCCGAUUGCGUAGGCAGCUAACUAGGCUGUAACUGACGCUGAGGCACGAAAGCGUGGGGAGCGAACAGG
rnacentral:rRNA from 1 species